rnacentral:rRNA from 1 species
GACGAACGCUGGCGGCGUGCCUAAUACAUGCAAGUUGAGCGCUGAAGGUUGGUACUUGUACCAACUGGAUGAGCAGCGAACGGGUGAGUAACGCGUGGGGAAUCUGCCUUUGAGCGGGGGACAACAUUUGGAAACGAAUGCUAAUACCGCAUAAAAACUUUAAACACAAGUUUUAAGUUUGAAAGAUGCAAUUGCAUCACUCAAAGAUGAUCCCGCGUUGUAUUAGCUAGUUGGUGAGGUAAAGGCUCGCCAAGGCGAUGAUACAUAGCCGACCUGAGAGGGUGAUCGGCCACAUUGGGACUGAGACACGGCCCAAACUCCUACGGGAGGCAGCAGUAGGAAAUCUUCGGCAAUGGACGAAAGUCUGACCGAGCAACGCCGCGGGAGUGAAGAAGGUUUUCGGAUCGUAAAACUCUGUUGGUAGAGAAGAACGUUGGUGAGAGUGGAAAGCUCAUCAAGUGACGGUAACUACACAGAAAGGGACGGCUAACUACGUG